rnacentral:rRNA from 1 species
GAUGAACGCUGGCGGCGUGCCUAAUACAUGCAAGUCGAGCGAACAGACGAGGAGCUUGCUCCUCUGACGUUAGCGGCGGACGGGUGAGUAACACGUGGAUAACCUACCUAUAAGACUGGGAUAACUUCGGGAAACCGGAGCUAAUACCGGAUAAUAUAUUGAACCGCAUGGUUCAAUAGUGAAAGACGGUUUUGCUGUCACUUAUAGAUGGAUCCGCGCCGCAUUAGCUAGUUGGUAAGGUAACGGCUUACCAAGGCAACGAUGCGUAGCCGACCUGAGAGGGUGAUCGGCCACACUGGAACUGAGACACGGUCCAGACUCCUACGGGAGGCAGCAGUAGGGAAUCUUCCGCAAUGGGCGAAAGCCUGACGGAACAACGCCGCGUGAGUGAUGAAGGUCCUCGGAUCGUAAAACUCUGUUAUUAGGGAAGAACAAAUGUGUAAGUAACUAUGCACGUCUUGACGGUACCUAAUCAGAAAGCCACGGCUAACUACGUG